UACCUAUAGAUUUUCCUAAAAGAGGAGGAGGAGGAGGGGGAGGGGCACUAGGUGGUGCUGGAACUGGAGAUGAAUUUGUAGUGCUCCCAGCUUGUCCUGAGUGAAGAGGAGGCGGUGGAGGUGGGGGAGGUCUAGAAGUAGCAGCAAGGUUAUCUUUCAAAGGAGGAGUUGGAGGAGGAGGAGGUGGGGGAGGUCUAGAAGUAGCAGCAAGGUUCUCUUUCAAAGGAGGAGUUGGAGGAGGAGGAGGUGGAGGAGACUGCAAUGAUGAAGUAACAUUAGUAACUGGAGAAGAGGAGGGUGGUAACCUCCCAGGGCUAGAUGGUUGGGAUAGUGAAUCUUUCGGCUUUGGAAGUGUAGUACAUUGAGGUUGAAGUGGGGGUAUUGGGGGAGGGGGAGUUGUU
rnacentral:lncRNA from 1 species